GACGGAGGAUGCAAGUGUUAUCCGGAAUCACUGGGCGUAAAGCGUCUGUAGGUGGUUCAAUAAGUCAACUGUUAAAUCUUGAGGCUCAACUUCAAAGUCGCAGUCGAAACUAUUGGACUCGAGUAUAGUAGGGGUAAAGGGAAUUUCCAGUGGAGCGGUGAAAUGCGUAGAGAUUGGAAAGAACACCAAUGGCGAAAGCACUUUACUGGGCUAUUACUGACACUGAGAGACGAAAGCUAGGGUAGCAAAUGGG
rnacentral:rRNA from 1 species